rnacentral:misc_RNA from 1 species
GAAAUGCGAUAAGUAAUGUGAAUUGCAGAAUUCCAUGAAUCAUCGAAUCUUUGAACGCACAUUGCGCCCUCUGGCAUUCCGGGGGGCAUGCCUGUCCGAGCGUCAUUACGCACCCUCAAGCCCGGCUUGUGUGAUGGGCCCCGGCGUCUCGUUCGCGAGACGGGCCCGAAAGGCAGCGGCGGCGUCGACCCGAUGAGCCCGAGCGUAUGGGGACUUCUGUCACACGUUCGCGGUGCGGACCGGCGCCUGCUUUGACUUUUCUGAUUAUCCAGGUUGACCUCGGAUCAGGUAGGGAUACCCGCUGAACUUAAGC